UACGAAGGGUGCUAGCGUUGUUCGGAAUCACUGGGCGUAAAGCGCACGUAGGCGGAUUGUUAAGUCGGGGGUGAAAGCCUGUGGCUCAACCACAGAAUUGCCUUCGAUACUGUUUGGCUUGAGUUUGGUAGAGGUUGGUGGAACUGCGAGUGUAGAGGUGAAAUUCGUAGAUAUUAGGAAGAACACCAGUGGCGAAGGCGGCUCACUGGCCCGGUACUGACGCUCAUGUGCGAAAGCGUGGGGAGCAAACAGG
rnacentral:rRNA from 1 species